rnacentral:rRNA from 1 species
UGGUGAGUAACGCGUGAGGAACCUGCCUUUCGGAGGGGGACAACAGUUGGAAACGACUGCUAAUACCGCAUGACGUAUCGGGAUCGCAUGGUCUUGAUACCAAAGAGUUUUAUCGCCGAAAGAUGGCCUCGCGUCUGAUUAGCUAGUUGGUGGGGCAACGGCCUACCAAGGCGACGAUCAGUAGCCGGACUGAGAGGUUGGCCGGCCACAUUGGGACUGAGAUACGGCCCAGACUCCUACGGAAGGCAGCAG